CGAAAGCCUGACGGAGCAAUACCGCGUGAGGGAGGAAGGCUCUAGGGUUGUAAACCUCUUUUCUCAGGGAAGAACAAAAUGACGGUACCUGAGGAAUAAGCAUCGGCUAACUCCGUGCCAGCAGCCGCGGUAAUACGGAGGAUGCAAGCGUUAUCCGGAUUUAUUGGGCGUAAAGCGUCCGCAGGUGGCAGUUCAAGUCUGCUGUCAAAGGUCGGGGCUCAACCCCGAACAGGCAGUGGAAACUGAACAGCUAGAGUACGGUAGGGGCAGAGGGAAUUCCCAGUGUAGCGGUGAAAUGCGUAGAGAUUGGGAAGAACACCGGUGGCGAAAGCGCUCUGCUAGGCCGAAACUGACACUCAUGGACGAAAGC
rnacentral:rRNA from 1 species